UACGUAGGGGGCAAGCGUUAUCCGGAUUUACUGGGUGUAAAGGGAGCGUAGACGGCGGGGCAAGUCUGGAGUGAAAGGCCGGGGCCCAACCCCGGGACCGCUCUGGAAACUGCCCGGCUGGAGUGUGCGAGAGGUAUGCGGAAUGCGUGGUGUAGCGGUGAAAUGCAUAGAUAUCACGCAGAACCCCGAUUGCGAAGGCAGCAUACCGGUGCACAACUGACGCUCAGGCACGAAAGCGUGGGUAUCGAACAGG
rnacentral:rRNA from 1 species